GCCCAUACUCCAGGAUGAUGUUUCCGCCUCUGUUUUAUGGCUUUCCACAAUCCUCUUACCUUCUCAACUCGCCAAUAAGCUUUCCUUGCUGGCCUCCAGCCUUGGAUCAAUCAGCAACUUGCUUGCUCAGCCCGUACAAAUGAGCUAUUGAGUAGCUUGGAGAGGUUUCCAACUGGGCCAUCCUGAAGCUAUAGUCACCAGAGGGAGCUGGUUGUUAAAUAUUUACCAGGAUACCAUUGCUGGGACCUAUGGAGCUACUCUUCUGCUAUCAGAACUGCCCCUGAGAGCAGGGGAGGACACAACAUGGGCAUGAAGUACUUGAACGUUACCAGUACUUUGCUACAGGAAGGAAGCCGUCACCCCUGGAUCGCGUGCUACCGUCAGGAAGAUGGGUUAGGGAGUGCCGAGCAUAAAGAAACAGCCAAGAAGAUGCAAAACCAAGAGGUAAAGAUGCCAGCAGCCUGUCAACCAUUGCUGCAGUUACGGACACCUGGAAAAAUUGAGGCUUGUGCUCACCAUCCGAGCAUCUCUGGAAAAUGA
rnacentral:lncRNA from 1 species